rnacentral:rRNA from 1 species
AGUGAACGCUGGCGGUAGGCCUAACACAUGCAAGUCGAACGGCAGCACAGUAAGAGCUUGCUCUUACGGGUGGCGAGUGGCGGACGGGUGAGGAAUACAUCGGAAUCUACUUUUUCGUGGGGGAUAACGUAGGGAAACUUACGCUAAUACAGCAUACGACCUACGGGUGAAAGCAGGGGAUCUUCGGGCCUUGCGCGAUUGAAUUAGCCGAUGUCGGAUUGGCUAGUUGGCGGGGUAAAGGCACACCAAGGCGACGAUCCGUAGCUGGACUGAGAGGAUGAUCAGCCCAACUGGAACUUGGAAACGGUCCAGACUCCUACGGGAGGCAGCAGGGGGGAAUAUUGGACAAUGGGGGCAAGCCUGAUCCAGCCAUACCGCGUGGGUGAAGAAGGCCUUCGGGUUGGAAAGCCCUUUUGUUGGGAAAGAAAAACAGCAGAUUAAUACCCCGCUGUUCUGACGGUACCCAAAGAAUAAGCACCGGCUAACUUCGUG